AGGCCGGAGGUGGUCGGUUUUCGCCAAUGAGAUAUUUAGGUGAGGCGCUGGAUAGCCGAGAGCAAGCACCAAUAGGGCCGCGUUCAUUUUACUCUUCGAAUGCCUCCUUCGGCUCUCUUCUUUUCCUAUCUCUCCUCUUCCAAACCUUGCCCUCCUCACCGUCUAGACAAUCUCCAACCCAUCUCCCCGAGCACUUCUUUUUCCUCCUCCUCCAAGCCUCUCAACCCUCCUCCUCCCCCUUUCAAGCUCAUCCCCCAAGAUCAAACCCAGAGCCCUCUCUCCUCGGAGAAGCAACCAUGGCCCCUCGCCGGCGCCGUCAAGAUGCCCACCGCCCCCUGGAUGAGAGGUCCCCUCCUCCUCCCCGCCGACCAACUCCUCGACCUCUCCAAUCCCCGCAAGAAGAAGCCCCCCGGCGACGGCGACGACGAUGACGACCACCCCGCCCGGGACCGCUCCCUCACCGACAAGGUCCGUGGCGGUAGAAACCGGCAAGCCAUGCGUGGCAUCAUCAGAAGCAUCACCAAACUCCGAGAAAUCCAUCCCAUGGAGGAAGAAGAGAAUGCAAUAGGCGAAGCAGAGUCACCUGAGUUCAGCGUUCCUCUUAAUAUUGGCGACGACGAAGGACGGCGACAGGCCGGGAGGUCGCCGUGGAUGGGGGUGGAGAAGAAGCUGGUCUUUAGGAGGGAGAAGAAAACGAGGCAGCCCACGGCUGCAGAGCUGACCCUUCCGGGGGACGUGCUGGUCAGGCUGCGCGGCGAGGCCAGGAGGAUGAAGAAAUGGGUGAAGGCGAAGAAGGCCGGGGUGACGCAGGAGGUGGUGGAUGAGAUUCGGAGGACUUGGAGGAAGGGGGAGCUUGCGAUGGUUAAAUUUGUUGAGCCGUUGCGGCGGAACAUGGACAGAGCUCAUGAGAUUCUUGAGUUUAUUUUCUGUUCAUAUAUUGAGCAGACAAAGACCGGUGGCUUGGUUGUUUGGCGCAAAAGAUAUACCCUUGUUGUUUACAGAGGAAGUAACUAUUCAUUGAUUCCAGAAGCAUCUCAUAAUUCAGCCAUUACCAUUGGAGGGAAAGCAUCUUCAUCAAAACUUAACCUUGGCAUAUCUGAAGAUGGUGGUGCAAUUCUGCCAACAAAAUCUGAUGAAAUCACAAACAUAUCUGUCAUCCAGCAGGAUGGAGAUGUAGAGAAUUCUCAUACAUCCAGUAUGGCUUGGGAAAUACGAAAUGCUGCUGAAGCAAUUGAAGGAACACUUUAUGAGAGGGAAGUUGACAGAUUGUUGGAUGGAUUAGGUCCUCGUUUUAUUGACUGGUGGUGGCGAAAGCCAUUACCGGUAGAUGCAGACCUACUUCCAGAGUUUGUUCCCAACUUCAGGCCACCAAUUAGGCUGUGCCCUCCCUCGAUGAAACCUAAGCUGAUGGAUGAGGAAUUGACAUACCUACGGAAGCUUGCACGCCCUUUACCUACUCAUUUUGCCCUUGGUAAAAGUAGAAAACUUCAAGGCUUGGCUGCCGCUAUCAUAAAGCUUUGGGAGAAAAGUCUUAUAGCUAAGAUUGCAGUAAAAGUGGGAAUUCCAAACAUCAACAACCAGCAGAUGUCUUGUGAGCUUAAGCGUCUAACAGGAGGAGUUCUGAUACUAAGAAACAAAGACUUUAUCAUCCUGUAUAGAGGCAAAGAUUUUCUAUCUGGUAGAGUUGCAAGUUCAAUUGCUGACAGAGAAACUGAGAUCUGUGGCCAACAACUAAAGGAAGAAGUAGCUCGAACAAAUGCAAUCAAACUGUCUUCUGGCAAAUUCCUGUACAGCACAAGCACUGUUGGAACUUAUACAGAAUUUCAAGACAUUCAAUCUAAAUAUACUGCUGUAAACAGUGGAAUUCCUGAGGAGAAGAUUCAAUUUGAAGCUGAGAGAGCAAAACUGGAGAAGGAAAUUGGGAAGCAAGAGCACGAACUUUUUAUCCUUAAGCAGAAGAUUGAGAAGUCUGAGAAGGAGUUGGCUAAGCUUAAUUCUUCAUGGAGUCCCUUAGAUCAGGCUGCAGACCAGGAACUCUUAACAGAAGAGGAAAGGCGAACUUUCCGAAACAUAGGUCUAAAAAUGGAUGAAUCACUGUUGUUGGGCAGGCGUGGUAUUUAUGAUGGUGUAAUUGGAAACAUUCACCAGCACUGGAAGCAUAAAGAAGUUGUAAAAGUAAUUACAAAGCAACAAGAUUUUCAACAAAUAACGUAUACAGCACAGCUGCUUGAAAUCGAAAGUGGUGGGAUAUUAGUUGCAAUAGAGAAGCUAAGAAGUACUCAUGCUAUAAUUCUUUACCGUGGGAAGAACUAUUGUCGUCCUCUAAAGCUCCUACCUGACAAUCUCCUGACAAAAAGAGAAGCUUUACAGAGAUCUACUGAAAUUCAACGACGAGGGUCACUCAAAUAUUUUGCCCAUCAGAGACAAAAAUCAAUCUGCACAUUGAAACAGAGAGUGAGAGAUUUAAAGAAAAGAACCAAGAAAAUGAUUUCUAGAAAACUCCAGGGCCCAAAUUAGGAGUUUGAUCGAACCAGGACAACCUGCUAUUGUGUCGGAAGUUCAGGACAACUCUCAUAUGGGCCAGUCGAAGACCCAACUGCAACAGAGGAAGGCUGAUCAAGUAAUGCGUUUCCUAUGUUUCUAGGCUAUGGAAUUACAAAUUUUGCUUUGCAACCGCAAAUUGUGUAAUCUUCCGACUGAUGUUUUAACAGAAAAUUUCUUUACUGGGAUUUUUCCUGUCUGUUUGCAUUUUCAAAGACUAUGGUUAAUUGGCUAGGGACAUUGAGGUUUCACAUGCAUAGAUGUAGUAUGUGUGAUCAUGUAUACGAGUCAACCGUCUGCUAAGACGUUAGUUGUAGAAUGAACCCUCGAAAGAAGCAUUAGUAUUUAUUUUUUGGAAAA